CUCCUUGCAGCCGAGAGAGAAGAGCUGAGAGAAACCCAAAGAAACUCCAACCAGUCCUCUUUUCUUUUUCUUCAAUCUUGAACAUCAAUCAAGAAACAAGAAAAUUAUAACUCAUCCUAGCCAAGAAUUGGGGAAGAAAGGCAGAAAUUUCUAGCUCAAAAAAAAACGUGGGGAAAGAAGUUGAAACUAUAAGUUUCAUUGCAGCUUCCAUUCUUGCAAGAUCUAAGGUAAACUUGCUAGCCAAACUUUCCAUUUUUCUCAAGACACACUAAGAUGAUUGAUGCAUAUUAGUUCUAGCCACGGAAAUGGAAAUUUUGUGGGAAAGUACUCUCAUUAGAAGUUGAUUUAUAUGCUGAAAAUUUCCAGCUUUGACCGAGGGCGAAAUGAGUUCAAUUUACAGCCUCUUAUUUCGACCUUUGGAGGAGUUUCCACUAGGAAUUCAUGCUUAUAAGUGUUGUAAUUCUUUUUUAGUAUGAUAUAUAGCAUGUUGUCUCUGAUUUUGGUAGCAAAUUGGUGGCUUACGUGUGAGAAAAUUGGCAGCAACAAAGUUGAAUAACUCCUGUGAAACCAAUGGAGUGAAGCUACAAGUUUGGUUCCUUUCUCCCAAGAAAUCUUGCUGCAAUUUAUUUAAAUGUACCGUAUAUAUCUCCUAUUUCUCUUUCUAGGACCUGCACAUAUUGUAUUGUUU
rnacentral:lncRNA from 1 species